AACGAACGCUGGCGGCAUGCCUAACACAUGCAAGUCGAACGAGACCUUCGGGUCUUGUGGCGCACGGGUGCGUAACGCGUGGGAACCUGCCCUUAGGUUCGGAAUAACUCCCCGAAAGGGGUGCUAAUACCGGAUAAUGUCUUCGGACCUAAGAUUUAUCGGCUUUGGAUGGGCCCGCGUUGGAUUAGCUAGUUGGUAGGGUAAAAGCCUACCGAGGCGACGAUCCAUAGCUGGUUUGAGAGGAUGAUCAGCCACACUGGGACUGAGACACGGCCCAGACUCCUACGGGAGGCAGCAGUGGGGAAUAUUGGACAAUGGGCGAAAGCCUGAUCCAGCAAUGCCGCGUGAGUGAUGAAGGCCUUAGGGUUGUAAAGCUCUUUUACCCGGGAUGAUAAUGACAGUACCGGGAGAAUAAGCUCCGGCUAACUCCGUG
rnacentral:rRNA from 1 species